rnacentral:rRNA from 1 species
UACGUAGGGUGCGAGCGUUAAUCGGAAUUACUGGGCGUAAAGCGUGCGCAGGCGGCUUUGCAAGACAGAUGUGAAAUCCCCAGGCUUAACCUGGGAACUGCAUUCGAGACUGCAUUGCUAGAGUAUGGGAGAGGGAAGUGGAAUUUCCGGUGUAGCGGUGAAAUGCGUAGAUAUCGGAAGGAACAUCAGUGGCGAAAGCGACUUCCUGGACCAAUACUGACGCUCAUGUGCGAAAGCGUGGGGCGCAAACAGG